rnacentral:rRNA from 1 species
GACGAACGCUGGCGGCGUGCUUAACACAUGCCAGUCGAACGGUGAACGAGGGAGCUUGCUCCCUCCGGAUCAGUGGCGAACGGGUGAGUAACACGUGAGCAAUCUGCCCCGAACUCUGGGAUAAGCGUUGGAAACGACGUCUAAUACCGGAUACGACGCGGGAGGGCAUCCUCUCCGCGUGGAAAGAACUUCGGUUCGGGAUGAGCUCGCGGCCUAUCAGCUUGUUGGUGAGGUAACGGCUCACCAAGGCGACGACGGGUAGCCGGCCUGAGAGGGUGACCGGCCACACUGGGACUGAGACACGGCCCAGACUCCUACGGGAGGCAGCAGUGGGGAAUAUUGCACAAUGGGCGCAAGCCUGAUGCAGCAACGCCGCGUGAGGGACGACGGCCUUCGGGUUGUAAACCUCUUUUAGCAGGGAAGAAGCGAAAGUGACGGUACCUGCGGAAAAAGCACCGGCUAACUACGUG